CUGCUCUUUGAUAGCAGCUGUUGCCGCGGCUGUGAUGACCUCCCCAUCCAGGUUGCUCAUCAGGUGAAGAGCUUGGUCACUGUUCAGAGGAAGAGGGAGCCCAGCUGCUGACGGCAUCUCUCUGCUUGAUGGAAAAUCUGAAAGAUCUCGAGAGAAAACUUCCUCACUAGGCCGGUCAAGAUCAUCAGAAGUAUCUGUCUGCAGAGUGUAUCCUUCUGGAAGGUUGAAGGUCCUAUUAUCAGUCCAGGAUACUUUUGAGAUAUCUGUGUCAGACACUGAUAACUCUUUAGCAGAAACCGUAAGGCUAAUCUUAGGGCAAAGAGCAGAAAAGUCUAAUUCACUGUCAUCUUUGUGACUUUGUCUUUGUCUGUUUCAGAUCACUCACAUUUCUUCUGAUUAAUAUAUUCUCUGAUUCCAAAAUCUAGUUUCAACAGAACUGACUUGAUUUUGCUGUAUAUUUUUUGUCCGAUAUCAGUACUGUUUAAGUGAACAUAAAAAUGCAAACAGUAUCAGUAGAUAGCUGAGUGUAACCCCAGGAAUGUAACUUCCCAAAAUUGUAAAAAAUGUGCACACACUGCAGACCAGGAGACAAAACUUCCUGGGACUCUGCUGUUUAAAGAGGCAUUUCUUGAAGAAGUAUGCUGAAGUUCACCCAUAAUUCUCUAAUACAAUGGCUGAGCUUGGGUCUUUCUUCUGGUUUGGAAUUGAUAACUUCCCAGCUUUUGCUGAGGCUUCUCCACAACCACGCACCUCUUGCUCCAGACUAAACCGUAUCUUUUAUUAUUUGCAGAAUGGCACAUCCAUGAAUCGUGACAGAAACCAGAUGAUAAAUUCUCUGUGGAGUCAGCGCAAGAAACCAGAACAGCAGUGCAUUUGAAGUUUGCAGCAGCAGCAGCAAUGAAGAGAGACUUAGGAAGGACCAAGAAGGACUAGGAAGACAAACCAGGUCAAAGGAUUGCUUAACUACUUAAUUUAUUUUCUGGCUGCUUGUGCUGUUAGUUUGAUAAUUGGUUUCUUUGCACUGGCCUCAGCUUUGUGGUUCCUGAUUUGUAAACGAAGAAAAAUAUUUCAAAAUUCUAGCUUUAAAGCAGCAGAUGAAAGAGUCAGGCAAAGACCACCAAAGGUGCAAACUAAGCCCCAUUCUCAGAGUGUAUUCAUUUCUCGAAGUUUUCAUACUGGAAGAUUCCAAUCACAGGAAGAGCAAAGAAAAAAGAAAAAAAAGAAAGAAGCAUGUAUAAAAGCAAUUAAAGAUCAUCCUAAAGACAAACUCUGCCCUGAAACAGAAAAGGUCGUCUGUGACUGCCAAGAGAUUAGCUCAACAACAUACAGCAGCAGUGUCUCGUUAAACUUACCAACAUCACCAUCAGAUUCUCAUUGUAGCCAAAGUAUACAGGCAGCUGAAGAAUGGUUUUCUGAUGAUUCUCUAGCAGAAUAUAAUUCUCCAGAGCCUUGCCCUAGGGAAACCCUAGAGGACAAAGUACUUUCAUACCUGUCAACAAUUUCACCAGAAGAAUGUACUUAAAAUGUAAUGACUAUGAUGAUGUAUGAGAAUCAAAAUGAUGACAGCAUUAAGGAAAUGUUUCCAUGAAGAAACACUGAAGUUGAAAUGCAAAGCUUUCAAUAUAAUAGUGAACGGCUCUUUUUCUUUUGAAGCCUUGUAUAUCAGGUAAAGUUAAAAUUGAAUUACCAGCUUCUAGUCUCCUAACGUGUUCAUGCUAAUGUUGCUUUUCUUGUGCUUUUUUGUAGAAUGGUCUUGAUCCCCUUGCUGCCUCUUAUUUCCAUAAAUAAAACUAUGGGAAGAACUAUAGGGGAUGUGGCUCAGUGGUAGAGUGCUUGCCGUGCACGCCCAAACCCUAGGUUUGAUCCCCAGCACCACAAAGGGGGGGGGGGACUACAGUAGUAUCAUGAAUAUUAACCUUAACUCCUCGUACCUCAUCAAAAGAUAAAAUAAAUAAUAAAACUGUAUUUGCAACAUGCAGGAGAAAUACUUACAGAAAUCUUCACAAAUGUAUUUUAAUAAAACAUCCACAGCAUUUGUUCUACUUUGGACAUAUCAAUUUUAUUUCAGUGUGAGUAGGUAUGGGUGAAAUAUCUCCAUCAGCUUUUCUGAAUUUACAAAACACAAAUCACCUGUCUUUUGAAUCCUAUCAUGCCAUGAUUUUGGUGAGCAAGAUAAAUUUGCUCUUACAAGACACCCUGGAACACUGGAGAACCCAGAGAAUAAUUUCCUUUUGCCUCUCCUUUCUCUGUUUCUCAGAAUGCCCCCCAACCCUCACCCUUCUGUAAUAAAAAUGGCUCCUAAUCACCUGAGUCAAGCUAGAUGAGUUAGAGUUCCUUUCUAGUACAAGAGGUUUUUGGUCCAAAAUGUAUGGUUAUGAGGGAUUUCUGAACCCAUCAUGUAAUCUCUUUUUUUCUUUCCUAAAUACUGUCCAUGUGGUCAAUCUUUUUAUUUUGCUUUCUCUUAGGAAAAAAGAUUGAUUAAUAUUUGGUAUAAUACUACCUUUUAUGCUUGAAUAACAUAAGACCUAUUCAUACCUUCCCAAGGGAUAAAUCACAUCUAUUAACAAUAAAUGCAAAAAAUUUGUCUCAAAUAAGGUAAUAAACAGUAUUACCCAGGUCUGCAAUUUCUGACCCAGGAAAUAGUAAAGGAGUUGGAACACCUUUCUCUCUUGAUGCACUUGGGCGAUUCCACACAGUGUGUGGUGGGUCCUGAGCACCUCUCUCCUGUCCAUCCCUAAAUCUCUGCAAGCUGUUUCACGAGGAGCAGUAAAAACAAAACCUUUGGUUGGUCUCUCUCUCUUAGUAUCCUGAAAUUCAUGUCUUCCUGUGUAUCAGGUAGGAAGGGAGUUAUAGCUAAUGAUGGCAAAGUCCUAAGGCUUCCCCCAGGAAUUUGGGGUUGGAAAUAAGAGAUUCUAGCUUUUGUCUGACUGGUCUCUGGAAUAGAAGAAACAUAAACUGGGGGCUGUGCAUCACCAUGUCCUACCAGGCAGCUUGAGAAGUAAAAGCAGCAAAUCUGCAAAGAGAGAACAAUGAAGCAUUUGCAAGUUGAAAAGCAGAGAUGAGAGAUCAGGAGAACAUGAUAUCCUCCCUGCCCUUGGCUUGCUAGGGUAUCCUUGGAUCCUAAUUGUAAAGUCUUUUUUUUUUUUUUCUUAAGCUCACAAGAUAUGAUUUCUGUUAUUGGCUACCAAACUUGAGGCCUGGAUUUAACUGUCAUUCUUGGCUUUAAUAUUCUUUUGUAAUUUUAUAAUAAAUUCUCCUCUUUGCC
rnacentral:lncRNA from 1 species